AAUAUUGCUAUUUAAAUUUAUGCUACUUUUGACUAAUUGUCAUAACUUCAUUAUUGAAAAUUUGCAUAAUACUUGGUUUUUGCCAGUUUUUUCAUUUAUGGUUUGUUUUAUUCAGAUACCUCUGCUAUCUAAAUGUAAAACAGGUUUUGUUGGAUGGCUAAUUUUUCAAGUUUUUGUUGAUCUUGUAUAUGGAAUGAGUUGUGAAAAAAUUCUGCAGGUUAACUUGGUUAGAAAGGGAUGGCCAACAAGUUGAUCGCUCACAAUGAAGGAAAUUCUGAAGGAAAUACUGUAAAAAUUGAGAUUCUGAUGAAAAUUAAACAAAAUGUGAUGCUUUUAAUUUUUUGCAUAUUAAGCUUAAGUACUAACAAGGUAACAAGUUGACUGAGAGUUGCUGAUAUGAAGAAAAUUAUAUAGGGAUGAUGAUUCAUAUACCGAUUCAUCCAACAAAAUUUUAGGUGUAAACAUUUCACAAAUUUUUUAAUCUUGAAAGUUUGUAAUUUUUAAUUUCCUGUGACUAUUAUAAUAAUGCUAAAAAUUUUAUUGUUCAAAUGGUGACGACAUUAUAGGAC
rnacentral:lncRNA from 1 species